CCUACGGGAGGCAGCAGUGGGGGAUAUUGCACAAUGGGGGGAACCCUGAUGCAGCGACGCCGCGUGGGUGAAGAAGGGCCUCGGCGCGUAAAGCCCUGUCAGCAGGGAAGAAAAUGACGGUACCUGAAGAAGAAGCCCCGGCUAACUACGUGCCAGCAGCCGCGGGAAGACGUAGGGGGCAAGCGUUAUCCGGAUUUACUGGGGGUAAAGGGGGCGCAGACGGCGCUGCAAGCCAGGAGUGAAAGCCCGGGGCCCAACCCCGGGACUGCUCUUGGAACUGCGUGGCUGGCGUGCAGGAGUGGCCGGCGGAAUUCCUGUUGUAGCGGUGAAAUGCGUCGAUAUCAGGAGGAACACCGGUGGCGACGGCGGCCUGCUGGACUGCACCUGACGUUGAGGCCCGCAAGCGUGGGGAGCAAACAGGCUUAGAUACCCUGGUAGUC
rnacentral:rRNA from 1 species